rnacentral:rRNA from 1 species
CGACGGGGGGUGCUAGCGUUGUUCGGAAUUACUGGGCGUAAAGGGCGCGUAGGCGGCUCUGCGAGUCGGGCGUGAAAUCCCGGGGCUCAACCCCGGAACGGCGCUCGAUACUGCGGGGCUGGAGACCGGAAGAGGAGGGUGGAAUUCCCAGUGUAGAGGUGAAAUUCGUAGAUAUUGGGAGGAACACCGGUGGCGAAAGCGGCUCUCUGGUCCGGUUCUGACGCUGAGGCGCGAAAGCGUGGGGAGCAAACAGGAUUAGAAACCCUAGUAGUCC